CACGCGGGCCUGUGUGGGAGCCUCCCAUGUGUCCGGGUACAGGCUCUCCGACAGUGUGGGGGAAGUACCAGGUCUGUGCUACAGUGUGGGGCCCCUUCCUAAAGCUGAAUGCAGGUCUACUGUUGGCUCAGGACAGGACAAGGGGAUCCUUCGAUUGUCUUCUCUCACUGGCCGGAGGCUGCUAAAGUUAACUGAGAGAAGAGAAGUCCUAAGCUUGUGGAGAAGCCCAGAAACAGACUUCUGAGGCUGCCUUCAAAGCCGCAUCUUGCCCACCCCACCUACUUCCACCUAUGAGCCCCCUCUAGAAGCAUCUACCUUCUAUCAUUCCUGUCCUUUCUCUGCUGCUUCCAGGGGGAGACUGGAAGCAUUCCGUGAAUGCAAGAAUGACCGUGUGGUGAUGUCUCCAAGCCAAGCCCUGCAGCCCAGGGAGGCUAAACUGCUGUGUGGAUUCUAGAUGGAUUGUUCUCAUCCCUGGCUUUGAACUUCUUCUGGAAGAGAGUCUGCCUAGGCCCCUGCAGCUCCCCAUCCUUAGGACCUAGACGAAUGAAUACAGCAUCACCCCCUCCUCCAAGUCAGAUUAGCCAUAGGUAUCUAGAAAUUCCAUUCUGAGCACCUACUGUGUGCUCAUGCCUGUCAAGAGAGGUUGCAGAGGGUGAAGAGGGGCCAGAUUACUGGGCUCCUGCCUUCCACCAGUUCCCAAUCUAGAUGGAGAGAGAAGACUCAUAGGCAGGAGAGCCAAAGCAGGUCUCAGGGCGUGUGGCCACGGCCAGGGCUGCAGAAUGUGGUUCAGUGGGUGCCAGAGAGAGGAGAGUGAUGGUGGCUCCACUGAAGGGAAGCUGAACACAAAGAAGGUUUCCUCCUCCCUUGAGGGGGAGGAGCAAAGGGAAGUGAGGAGCAGGAGGCAAUGGUAAGGCCUGCAAAACUACACCAUCUGAGCCAAGAUCCCCACCACACAGGGCUUCCUGACAUCCCUAAAUAUGAAUCAGCAACAAAAUGUAAACCCCAAACACAGAGAAAAAAUGAGAAGCAAUUGUUCCCAACUCCCUUUUCCAUUUGCCGGCCUUCUCUCUCUCUCUCAGUGGAUGGAAUAAUUGUGGCCAUGAAGUGGCACUUGAAUAAAAAGUUUUAAAUCUG